rnacentral:lncRNA from 1 species
AUGAGAGAGCUAUGUAUACAUCUCUCUGUCACCACAUGCUUCUUGGAUAAAGAGUCUGUCUCUUUCAUGUUCAAAGUGCAAACUAGCAGCUACUCAAGCCUACACCAAAGAUCUUAUUUUUCCUUACCCUUGCAGAUGUUGUGCAGCACAUGGCAUGUGGGGAUGACACAGACAGCUACAUCUUCAUUAGCACCAAAGAGUUUCCAUAGGCUGUAUUGGUUUAUCUUUGCUCGCCUCAUUAACUCACUUGUUUCUAAAAGCCCAAAACAAACGUUUAAUCAGAUUGAGUUGCAAUCAGCCUGCAUUCAAGCAAUAUACUCUGAGGAGCAAAACUGA